rnacentral:rRNA from 1 species
UACGUAGGGUGCAAGCGUUGUCCGGAAUUAUUGGGCGUAAAGAGCUCGUAGGCGGCUUGUCGCGUCGACUGUGAAAACCUGCGGCUCAACCGUGUGGUCUGCAGUCGAUACGGGCAGACUAGAGUUCGGUAGGGGAGACUGGAAUUCCUGGUGUAGCGGUGAAAUGCGCAGAUAUCAGGAGGAACACCGGUGGCGAAGGCGGGUCUCUGGGCCGAUACUGACGCUGAGGAGCGAAAGCGUGGGGAGCGAACAGG